GACGAACGCUGGCGGCGUGCCUAAUACACGCAAGUAGAACGCUGAAGGAGGAGCUUGCUUCUCCGGAUGAGUUGCGAACGGGUGAGUAACGCGUAGGUAACCUGCCUGGUAGCGGGGGAUAACUAUUGGAAACGAUAGCUAAUACCGCAUAAGAGUAGAUGUCGCAUGACAUUUGCUUAAAAGGUGCAACUGCACCACUACCAGAUGGACCUGCGUUGUAUUAGCUAGUUGGUGAGGUAACGGCUCACCAAGGCAACGAUACAUAGCCGACCUGAGAGGGUGAUCGGCCACACUGGGACUGAGACACGGCCCAGACUCCUACGGGAGGCAGCAGUAGGGAAUCUUCGGCAAUGGACGGAAGUCUGACCGAGCAACGCCGCGUGAGUGAAGAAGGGUUUCGGAUCGUAAAGCUCUGUUGUAAGAGAAGAACGAGUGUGAGAGUGGAAAGUUCACACUGUGACGGUAGCUUACCAGAAAGAGACGGCUAACUACGUG
rnacentral:rRNA from 1 species